rnacentral:lncRNA from 1 species
UCGCGAACAGGGUUCAAUGAGCGCUCUGCAGCAGUAUGCAAAGGUCAGCUGUGCCUUGCUGCUCCCUCUAGAUCUGAGUUUACUACAGCAGCCCGGAUUUCCUUUUGACUUUGAUCUCGCCCUUUAGCGGUGGUGCCAUAAAUAAAACACCUAUUGAAAGUGAGUAGGCGCGUGUUUCAACUUUAAAAUAAUUAAAAAAACCAUGGAUUUAUUUGUGUAAACUACGUUUGUAUGUGUGUGUUGCAUUGUUUCACAUCCAGCAGAACGUCUUUCUCAGCUUGCAAGGCAGCUCACUUUACUGUCACCACCCAUUUUGAAACACAAAAAUACAUCACAUGAUUCGCAUCAGCAAGUGCGAGCCUUAAUAAGUGGAUGAACUGCAAGAGCGAGCUCAUGCAGUAUAUAGCAGAGAGAGAUGAAAGAUUUGGUCCACUUCCGUUUUGGGGCAGAGCUGGCACAAGCAACAGGGCGCGAAAUUUUUACAGCUCAGCGGUUCACAUUUUUUGUCUGAACUCAGUAUGCCCAUAACUGCACUGUGUUUGAAGCUACCUAGUAUCUGGUUGAUCCUCGCUGCCUGUGAACAACCAUUUAGAAAGAUGUUACUGUGCUUAGGAAAGGAGGAGGAUCAUCGCUUUGCAGUUUGCGGAGCGCCUCCCCCCUAAGGCCUAAACCCAACCAAGUGCACAAAGUAACGUUCUUGUACUACAUCAGACAGGCAAACACUAGUGCCAACACUACUUUUCCGCUACCCUCCUAAAUUGUUUUUUUGCAGAGUAUGCUCGUAAGCUCAACAGUCUGUCAAGAGAACGGAGCUGAAACCCCCAUUUUUCUCAGCCGGUGAGAUCUGGCGCGGAGGCAGGCAGAAGACAACCGCCCUCGAAGCUCUGGCUGAAGAUUGCGCAACGAUGCGAAUCGAGCCGGCUCCAAAUGAGCGGUUGCGGCAGCAAAUAACACAUUUAAGAGCAAAACAUCGGUGAAGCAAGCAUACCAUCCUCCACCGGAGCCGCCGAGGCCGGGCGGACGGGCGCCGCCAGGAGAAGCAGGGCCAGCAAUGCAAGUCUCUUCCUCGCCGAAUCUGCCUCCAUCUCCUCGCCCCCUCCGCGCUCCCUCGCAGCUCACCUCCCUCCAACCCAGAGCACAGGCUGCAGGGGACGGGGUGCGAGCGAGACUCGGAGUCUCGGAGACUGGAAAGUGAGACCGGGCUGGGCAGCGGGGACUCCGGGGAGAUAGGAGACAGAAGGGCACUGCGCUAGACGCUGGUUGCUGCCAAGCCCGAACGGCGCCGCGUCCUCCUCGUCUCGUCUGGAGGCAGCUCUGCUCUGCCCGUCCCACGCCCACGCCCUGCUUUUUAUUUUGGGGUCAUACGCUGGUGCCUGGGCCCUGGUGGUGGUGGCGAUUCCCUUUUCCUUUGCCACUCUCUCUGCUAAUAUUCUAUAUCGAGACUAGAUAAGUGACCGUCCGUUACGACGGGAAGUAAAAAAAUUAUAUAAAACAUAUAUCAUGCUAAAGGAAGAUCUUGGUAGGAUCAUUGGGGUCAACAUAUUUUAUCAUAUAUCAAGUGUUUUGCCAAUUCAGUUAACAUAUAUCAACUCACGUAUGACAUAUCCUAUCAUACACAUUGGCAGAAAAUAGCUAUCACAACACAAUUGAUGGUAAAAGUAAAUAUAUCUAUCUCUACUAAUAUUAAAAGGAAUAACAUAGAGAUAGGAAGUGUUAUCACUUUUAUCAUGUAUUUGUCCCAUGAAUCGCUUGAACUGAUGCUGACAAAAUACAACAUGUUUAUUCAUUACUUUCAGGAUCAUCUCACUCCGAAAUGUCUAAAACACGGGCACAUGAGGAUGAGACAAAUGGAGAAUACAUAUGUGCCUAGCUCUUUUGAGUACUUGUGAAUUGUUAAGCAUAGUUAGGUGCCCAUGUGUUGCAUUUUUUUGAACUUCUCGUCCAAGGUAAUUGUAUAUCAGCAUAAUCAGUUUGAUGGGCUCCAGGA